rfam:Loxodonta africana unplaced genomic scaffold scaffold_108, whole genome shotgun sequence.
CCAAAGGCUCUUUUCAGAGCCACCCACUUUAUCACUAACAAGAGCU